UACGUAGGGUGCGAGCGUUAAUCGGAAUUACUGGGCGUAAAGCGUGCGCAGGCGGUUCGUUAUGUCUGUUGUGAAAGCCCCGGGCUCAACCUGGGAAUGGCAAUGGAAACUGGCGAGCUAGAGUGUGGCAGAGGGGGGUGGAAUUCCGCGUGUAGCAGUGAAAUGCGUAGAGAUGCGGAGGAACACCGAUGGCGAAGGCAGCCCCCUGGGCUAACACUGACGCUCAGGCACGAAAGCGUGGGGAGCAAACAGG
rnacentral:rRNA from 1 species